rnacentral:rRNA from 1 species
UGACGGUAUCAUAUGAAUAAGCACCGGCUAACUCCGUGCCAGCAGCCGCGGUAAUACGGGGGGUGCAAGCGUUACUCGGAAUCACUGGGCGUAAAGAGCAUGUAGGCGGGUGAAUAAGUUGGAAGUGAAAUCCUAUAGCUUAACUAUAGAACUGCUUCCAAAACUGUUCACCUAGAGUAUGGGAGAGGUAGAUGGAAUUUCUGGUGUAGGGGUAAAAUCCGUAGAGAUCAGAAGGAAUACCGAUUGCGAAGGCGAUCUACUGGAACAUUACUGACGCUCAGAUGCGAUAGCGUGGGGAGCCAACAGGAUUAGAUACCCUGGUAGUCCACGCCCUCAACGAUGUACACUAGUUGUUGCUAUACUAGAUAUGGCAGUCAUGCAGUUCACACUUUAAGUGUACCGCCUGGGGAGUACGGUCGCUAGAUUAAAACUCAUAGGAAUAGACUGGGACCCGCACACGCGGUGGAGCAUGUGGUUCAUUCGACGAUCGCGAAGACCUUACUGGCCUGACUAGUA